rnacentral:rRNA from 1 species
UACGUAGGGGGCAAGCGUUGUCCGGAAUCAUUGGGCGUAAAGCGCGUGUAGGCGGCCCGGUAAGUCCGCUGUGAAAGUCGGGGGCUCAACCCUCGAAUGCCGGUGGAUACUGUCGGGCUAGAGUGCGGGAGAGGCGAGUGGAAUUCCUGGUGUAGCGGUGAAAUGCGUAGAGAUCCGGAGGAACCCCAGAGGCGAAGGCGGCGUCCUGGCUCGCAUCUGACGCUCAGACACGACAGCAUGGGGAGCGAACGGG